UACGAAGGGGGCUAGCGUUGCUCGGAAUCACUGGGCGUAAAGGGUGCGUAGGCGGGUCUUUAAGUCAGGGGUGAAAUCCUGGAGCUCAACUCCAGAACUGCCCUUGAUACUGAGGGUCUUGAGUUCGGGAGAGGUGAGUGGAACUGCGAGUGUAGAGGUGAAAUUCGUAGAUAUUCGCAAGAACACCAGUGGCGAAGGCGGCUCACUGGCCCGAUACUGACGCUGAGGCACGAAAGCGUGGGGAGCAAACAGG
rnacentral:rRNA from 1 species